rnacentral:tRNA from 1 species
UGGAGUGUAGCUCAAUGGCAGAGUGCUUGCCUAGAAUGCAUGAGGCCCGCGUUCCAUCCUCAACACUGCAA